rnacentral:lncRNA from 1 species
UUUUAUUUGCCAAAAAUAAAAAAGUUAUUACAUUUUUUAAUUAAAUUUUAUUUUUUAUUAUUGAAUUUUUGAUUAUUUUAUUUCUUACUUUUUAUCCCCCAGUUUUUUUUAAAAGGUCUUAACUAGAUUCGUUUUAUUUUUGGCAUUCUUACCUCUUGAGAAACAAGUAAAUAAUUUUUGGAAAUAAUUAAUUUAUUUGAUUAUUUUUAAUUAUUUGGAUAUUUCUCAUUUGGUCAACUGAGUUUUAUUAGGUAAUUUUUUUUUAAUUAUUAUCAACAAAAUAAUCAAAAAAGAAAAGAAAUUAUUAUUAUUUUUAAUAUU